GCUGGGGGCAGCGGCGCACACCUAUGGUUCUAGCUACUUGGGAGGCUGAGGCAGGAGGAUUACUUAAGUCCAGAAGUUCAAGGUAGCCUAGGCAACAUGGCAAGACCCUGUAUCAA
rnacentral:sRNA from 1 species